rnacentral:rRNA from 1 species
UACAGAGGUCCCAAGCGUUGUUCGGAUUUACUGGGCGUAAAGGGAGCGUAGGUGGCCUUCUAAGUCUGAUGUGAAAGCUCUGAGCUUAACUCAGAAAUGGCAUUAGAAACUAGUUUGCUAGAGGAUUGGAGGGGAGAUUGGAAUACUUGGUGUAGCAGUGAAAUGCGUAGAUAUCAAGUGGAACACCAGUGGCGAAGGCGAAGCUCUGGACAAUUCCUGACACUGAUGCUCGAAAGCGAGGGGAGCAAACGGG